CUAGAUGAAAUAUAUACAUUUCUGAAGCAAUGUCUACCCGAAGAGCAAUCGAAGAGAAUUGAUGAAGAACAACGUAUCAGUUUGCAGGACAAUGUAACAAGAGAAAUGUUUAAGCGAGCAUGAAAAAUGGAAUUGAAAUCCUUAUCUGCAGAAAAGGAUGAAGAAUACGGAGUUAAACGAAAAUGUUAACGUAGAAGGAGGAGGAAGACGUCGUGAAACAAGUUUGUUUGGUGACAGCAUUUGAGUGUAGAUGUGUUCCUGAGAGAUGUGUCAACACUUCUUUUCCCGUCAAUACAUGAUUAAUUCAUACAUCAUUAAUUCCGUUCCACUAUUUAUUACAA